AAGUCGUAACAAGGUUUCCGUAGGUGAACCUGCGGAAGGAUCAUUACCGUGGGGGCCCCCCGGGGCCCCUGCCGAGAUAGCACCCCUUGUCUUUUCGAGCACCAACCGUUUCCUCGGCGGGCACGCCCGCCAACGGGGACCAAACAAACCCUCAACCGCAGUAUAAGAAGUAACAAACGUAUCAAAACAAAAAAUCAAAACUUUCAACAACGGAUCUCUUGGUUCUG
rnacentral:misc_RNA from 1 species